rnacentral:rRNA from 1 species
GACGAACGCUGGCGGCGUGCUUAACACAUGCAAGUCGAACGGAAAGGCCCUGCUUGCCGGGUACUCGAGUGGCGAACGGGUGAGUAACACGUGGGUGAUCUGCCCUGCACUUCGGGAUAAGCCUGGGAAACUGGGUCUAAUACCGGAUAGGAGCCAUUUUUAGUGUGAUGGUUGGAAAGUUUUUUCGGUGUAGGAUGAGCUCGCGGCCUAUCAGCUUGUUGGUGGGGUAAUGGCCUACCAAGGCGGCGACGGGUAGCCGGCCUGAGAGGGUGGACGGCCACAGUGGGACUGAGAUACGGCCCAGACUCCUACGGGAGGCAGCAGUGGGGAAUAUUGCACAAUGGGCGCAAGCCUGAUGCAGCGACGCCGCGUGGGGGAUGACGGCCUUCGGGUUGUAAACUCCUUUCGCUAGGGACGAAGCUUUUUGUGACGGUACCUAGAGAAAAAGCACCGGCUAACUACGUG